GUCGGGAGCCGCGGGCGGGGCCCGCCCCAAAGCCUCUUAAGCUCCGCCGGAGGCUGCCGGGAGCCACGGAGGAGUUUCUGCGGUUGUGGAUAGGCGACGGCGGGGGUUCUGUUUCUUUGUCGGGCCCUGACGCUGCUGAGGCUGAGAAGCGGCUGCUGUGAGCCCUUUUGCGGUAAGGACCAGCCCAAACAGGCUGAGCGAGGGCUGCAGCAGAGGCUCUCAUCGGCCCGAAGCGGUGAGCUCGUGGAAGCGGUGAGUGUUCGAGAGUCGCUCGGUAAGAUCUCUCGUGCUGGGGCUCCUGUAGGGUUGCUGCUCGACUGCCUCUGUCUUUGGGAUCGGCACGGCGCCGCCGCUGGGCUCCCGUGUGGCUUUUUUAGUAGGACCGGCACGGGGCCUCCGCCCGAGACCGAGCACGAUCCCGGGGUGGCCUCGGCCACUGCGGAGUGUUUUGCGGGUGCUCUCACCCAUCCCGUUUCCAGCAGUGGGAGCGAGCAGGUUGGGACCGUGGUUUUAUUUUUUUUUUUCCCCCUCCUCUUCCUUCCCGUGUAACUGCAGGAGCACGAUUUAGGUUCCCAUCGUGGAGACCUGGCAGGGCAGCUCGCACGACUGGAGUGCUGUCGUGGAUGGCUCUGUUCCUUUUAGGAAAGACAGACCGGUCAGGCGGUGGAGUCUCUCUUCGAGGGAGAGAACGGGAACGUAUCGAGCUCCACCUAGGGGUGAAUGAAGAACCAGCGGAGCGUUUGUGCGUGAGGCUGAAGAGGCAGCUGGAAAUGGUGCCCACAGCUGUGAGGCCAGUUCUCAUGGUAGGCUCCAGGAGUUUCCUGCAAUGUGUCAAAGGUAAGAUCUUCUGACACAGGUGAUGAAGGAGGCAUUGAGGAGAGGGGCUGCUGGAGCUCCCUAUUGCAGAAGAGCCAUUUGGGGACAGGAAGGCCAGGGGCAGCCUGGAGCGUGCCAGUCGUGAGACCACAGCGUUUGGGAUCUUGUGUGGAAGCUGCAAAGCAAUGAGUAGGAUUGAAACACUGGACUUAGAGGGAGCCAAGUUUGUCCUCUUGAAGGGCCUACUUGGAGGUAACCCUUGCUCAAGCAUAGGAAGGGGUCCUGUGAAUGCUGGAGCAUUACUUCGUCCAUGCUGAGGUGCGCUGUGUCCCAAGGAGGAAGGAACUGCGCAGGAAUGGUGGGGGACCUGCAGGGCUGACUGAGGAACUUGAAGGGGAGAAGGAAGAGAGAGGCUGAGGAAGGCCAAGUCCCUCUGAGUAUCAGCUUUGGGAGGGAGGUCAAGGCUAAUGGAAGUUUGUCAACAGGAGAGACUGGAGAAAUUGCAGGCCUGCGCUUUACAAGGCGGAGGCCUCUUGGGUUCAGUGGUUUCUGCUGAGAGUGCUCCUGGGGAACCUGGGGUCCUGGAGGAGAGAGUCCCUGAGGAAGGAUGUCUUCCCCUCAGUUGCGGAGGAGCUGGUCAAAGGUAGUUCAGGCAGAAAGGAGGCCAGCAAAUGCCUGAGCUGUAGAGGGCUAUGUCUGUGCCCGCUGAGAGCUGGCAGCGGUGACUGGCAAUAGCUCUGUCACUUUUCCCUGCUGUUUCCUGUGGGAAAGGUACCUGAAGACUGGAGGAUGGCGGAUGCCACCGCAGCCUUCAGAAAGGGUGUGGAGGAUGGCGUGUGCAACUUGGAGGUAGGUUGGCCUCAUGUCUGUUCCUGGGGAGGUGACGCAACAGCUUGUUGCAGGUGUCAUUGCCAUGUGACCGGAGGAGAAGGAAUUUGCAAGGAGCAGUCCAGGUGGAUGGACAGAGGAGAAGUCAUGCUGGACCAAAAGGGUGAAGGCUGCAGAGAGGAUUGGCUGGAGCAGGUGUGCAGUUUUCCCAGCGGUGGGAUGAAGGAGGUGAGAGAGGGGGAGCCCCAGGCGGGAGCCCUUGUGGUGGAGGGCUGCCCCCAGGAGCGCCCCCUUGGAGGUGGUUUGUGGAGGUCUCUGUGCAGGUUCAGGCUGGAGGCAGGAUCCUGGCGGUGUGAGCGGGGCGCCCCUGUGGAGCAAGGGUGGAAGGUGCGUGGCAGGUCCUGUCCCGGAGGAGUGGAGUUAAGGGUCCUGGCGUGGCUGUUUUCCUGCAUGGAAGAUGUAGAUCCUGGGAGCUGCGAUGAGGAGGAGCAGAGCCAGCAGUGGCUCCUGUGUGGCGAUGGCUGCUUUGUGUGGUGCUCCUGGGCUGAAAGGAGGAGGAGAAAAAAGUUUUUAGUGUGGUUCUUCAAAGCUCAGUUUCCCUUCCCCAAGAAGCUAUGGGGAGCUUCUAGGUCUAAUGCUGUUCCUCUGCUUUUGAGCUGAAUUUCUGCACGGCAGCCUUUCUCGAAUGCAGUAGGGCUUCCCUGGCUUGAAGAUGGGUGUGCUGUCCUGAGGGAGGAGCAGUGUUGGCUGUCUUACAGUGACCUUCUGCUUUCCUUUAAGAAGAGUCCACUAAGAACUGUAUCGGGUUUUUCAGUAGGUAACUCAGCAAAAAUGCCAAAUAUGUUGUCCUGUUUCCCUUUAUAACAAAAGAUGUGGUACUUUGCUGGGGUUGCGCCUUUGUGUUCAAUGUUUGUAUGCAGUAUAUUGUAUCCUCCUGUGGGAGUCUGCCAUUAUUAACUGCACUGUUAAUAACUUAUUAUUAAUAUAUUAUAUUAAUAUAAACUGUAAACUAAUAAUAAACUGUUAUUAUUAAUAAAUUUACAGUUUAUAAUCCAGUUGUGCUGUGAGAGAAGUGCAGCAGCUGGAUAAUGCAGGAUAGAAAAUGGAGUUGACAGAGAUGCAAAACUACUCUCCUACUGCCUUGACUUGAACUGUGUCUCAGUGUGCUAUUACACUGCCUCACUAGUGCAAGCAAAUGUGUACCAUGAGGAAGGGCUGUUUUCUGAUGUGGGAUUUAGUUCUUGGGCCUGCUUUCCUGACAAGGGUUUUCUUUACCUACUCCCAUGGAUGAUAAAUGCUUUGAACUAGACCAGAGGAUAAGACUUCCUGCUUUUGUAACCCAGGCUUUCUCUUGAGCAGGAGGCUGUCACUGGAACACACAGGAACAGUCAGAGCAAUUACUGAAUUGGACUGUCUGAGCUGAAAGUUGAUGGUGCAUCCCUCUGGUAGAGGGAAUGCAAAAAAGAGAGGUCUCAAAUCAGUAGUGAGUUUAUUGCUGAAGAGCAAAGAUUUGUAUCUCACCCUAAGCUGGGUGUUCUUCACUGCCACAAGCCCAGUCAUUUCACUAUACCCAUGUUCUGCCUGGUACCACUCUGACUAACAACCAGAAUGGCUGAGCAAGGAGUACUGUUUGCAGCUAGGAAGCCGAAAACAGCCAAAAAACCCUUCUGUUGCUUCCUUGUGUGUUCUGGGGGGGUGCACAGUCAGAAGAGAGCUUCCACCAUGCAUACCAGUCCUUAUAAAGUAUCUUUCCUUAUGAGCACCAGUACGGACUCCCUUUCACUGUCUCUUUUAGCUGGAGAGCUGGGCUGUGCAUCUGUGUUCCUCCAUCUACAAUGAGAAGAAAGGAUUUCCUUUUUUUUUUAAUUUUGUUGUUGUAACAAGUAACAAAUAAAAUUCAAGGGAGCUUGGCAACUGUGUUUGACUGUGAGUGGUUCCAG
ensembl:lncRNA